GCAUAUCAAUAAGCGGAGGAAAAGAAACCAACAGGGAUUGCCCUAGUAACGGCGAGUGAAGCGGCAACAGCUCAAAUUUGAAAUCUGGCGCAAGCCCGAGUUGUAAUUUGUAGAGGAUGCUUCUAGGUAGCGACCGGUCUAAGUUCCUUGGAACAGGACGUCAUAGAGGGUGAGAAUCCCGUAUGUGACCGGCCCGCACCUUCUACGUAGCUCCUUCGACGAGUCGAGUUGUUUGGGAAUGCAGCUCUAAAUGGGAGGUAAAUUUCUUCUAAAGCUAAAUACCGGCCAGAGACCGAUAGCGCACAAGUAGAGUGAUCGAAAGAUGAAAAGCACUUUGGAAAGAGAGUUAAAAAGCACGUGAAAUUGUUGAAAGGGAAGCGCUCACAACCAGACUUCUGGGCGGUGUUCCGCCGGUCUUCUGACCGGUCUACUCACCGUCCCGAGGCCAACAUCAUCUGGGACCGCUGGAUAAGACCUCAGGAAUGUAGCUCCCCCUCGGGGGAGUGUUAUAGCCUGUGGUGAUGCAGCGCGUCUCGGGUGAGGUCCGCGCUUCGGCAAGGAUGUUGGCGUAAUGGUUGUCAGCGGCCCGUCUUGAAACACGGACCAAGGAGUCUAACAUCUAUGCGAGUGUUCGGGUGUCAAACCCCUACGCGUAAUGAAAGUGAACGGAGGUGGGAAGCGUAAGCUGCACCAUCGACCGAUCCUGAUGUCCUCGGAUGGAUUUGAGUAAGAGCAUAGCUGUUGGGACCCGAAAGAUGGUGAACUAUGCCUGAAUAGGGUGAAGCCAGAGGAAACUCUGGUGGAGGCUCGCAGCGGUUCUGACGUGCAAAUCGAUCGUCAAAUUUGGGUAUAGGGGCGAAAGACUAAUCGAACCAU
rnacentral:rRNA from 1 species